GACCGCCUCGUUAUUGAUACCGAGCCAGAGGAGGAGGAGGAGGAAAUGGGGGAGCCUUCAGGCCAGCCUGAUGUCACUUACCUGUACGUGGACUCUGAGUCGGAGGAGUAUAUAAUUAUUGACAGUGAGGAGGAAGGGGAGAAAAAGCCCUCUCCCCAACUUGGCCCUACACUGGAACAGGCCGCCGAGGAGGAGGAGGAUGAGUAUGAUGAGGCGGCAUUUAGUG